UCAGCAUCUACAACGGCUCUUUGAGGAAACCUUCAUAAUAUGAGCUAGAACAACAUUUAAUUUCCCUUUGGGAUUAAUAAAGUAUUUUUGAAAUGAAUUGAAGUAUCGAGCUGGUGGCUUCCUGUUAUCCUCAGUCUCCUGAACCAAGGCAGAAGCAUACCCUGUCCACCCUCCAAUGCAAGUACCUGAACAUCAAACUAACUCCUGAACUCACCAGAACUCAUUCUACAGCUCAAGUAAACCAUCUGGAUUUUCUCUGCUUCACACACCUGGGUCCUGACUCCUUCUACCCCUGGUGACUUGACUUCAGUCACUUAUUGGCGAUUCUACCAUUCACAUUCCAGUAUCACUUUGUAAAUAAAACGCCUUUCACUAA